rnacentral:piRNA from 1 species
UGGGAGAGGGACACUCACAAAAGCAUGUCAAA